AUAAAUAAUUUGGAUAAAACAGAGAAGUCGCUGAGCAUGCCUGCGCAUGUGAACCCCUCUCUUUUCAAUCUUCCCCUCCCGCAUCCUCCGCGAGCAUCCUGGUAUUUCCUUUUUGAUAUGGAGCAGCUAUAGGAGUGAAAAACAAACUCAAGACAGGGGAAUUGAAAAGCAAACAACUGCGGCAGGAGUGGAAUAUGGAAAGGAUUCAGAUUGAUUGUUAAAGAUGCUAUACGGAAACCUGUGUCGGCUUUGCUGAAUGUAAACGAAUGUGGCGCUUUGGUCUCAUAUGAGAAAUAUAUUUAACAAACUUUUCCAGCGUUAUUUCGUUGUGUAAAUGCAUUUAUAAUGAUCAUAUUUUUUUUUUUUUUUUUCGGGCUCAUACCUACAAAUAAAACAUAAAAGUUCAGGUUUUUUCGGGCUCGGGCAAGCAAAUCAAGUUAAUUGAUCGGGCUCAGGCCGCGUCGGGCAUUAAUACCCGCGGGCCGGUCGAGUCGGGCUGGAUUUUUUAAGUCCGAUCUAACUUCUAGCGUCAUGUAAUGUUAGCAUACCGUACACCUAUUCAGCCUGUUGUUCUCUAUUUCAUUUUAAAUUGCCAUUCAAGAUGACAUGUCUGUUCUUGGUGCUGGAUUCUAUCAAAUAAAUUUCCCCCCAAAAAUGGGACUUAUACUCCGGUGCGACUUAGAUAUGUUUUUUCCUUUUCAUUGUGCAUUUUUUGGCUGGUGCAACUUAUACUACGGUGCGACCUAUAGUCUGAAAAAUACGGUAAAAGAUAAUCUGGGAGGAAAAUUCUUCCUGACCUCUAUUUGGCUAUUUUUUUGGGGGUAGUUUUAAUUGUAUUUGAUAAAACUAAAAAAAAAAAAAAAAAAAAAAGGGAAAUAAAAAGGUGUACACUUCUUAAUAGAAAUAAGGAAAACACUUGAUGGGCAAAGUGAAAGAAAUGUAGGCCUAAUUAAAAUUCAAACUGUCACAUAAGUAUCAUAGAAAAGGGUCAGUCACUGGAACCGGUAACUUACCCAACGCCCAAGGUGGCAGAAUCUCCAGGUAAGUCUCGUUGGACUGGAUGGCGUGCAUGUACAUGGUAUGAAUCAUGUAUUCGGCGAUGCACCACCACGCCAAGAUUCGUGCGGCUCGAAGCAACAGGUAGCAAGCGCCUGUCUUGGGCUGCUUGUGCUCCUUGACAGGCCUCUGCAUCUGAAGGCGAGAGACACUUCAUCAUUCAUAUAGCACUUGACAAAAUUAACAUUAGAAGAUCCACAUCACUUAGCGUCAGCUUCAUGCAGGCUAAAGAAUUUCUCUAACUUACCUGCUCCACGUAGUCAUUGUAUGUAAUGACAGGUCCGUUAUAGAAUAAAGGGUGGUAAAACGUGUAGGACAAAAGCCACCCCAGCUGCAGGACGCCAUCGGUGUGUACCGUGGGGCGCUCGCAGUGCUCCAGACUGAAGCUGAUAAGGCGAAGAGUAUUCACUGCCACACUGAAGAGCAGCAGAUAGUACUCCUCCUCCUGCUCGUACCAGCUUCUCUUUGGGAAACGCAGGGGUGAAAAGCAAGGAAAGUUAGCUAAAUCUUUGUGUAAAGUAUUGUUACAGAGGUAUUAUCAAUGUAGUCAGUAUUGUUUAUUAUCAUCAAUUAUAGUCAUGUUUAAGAGAACACAGGUAUUUGAAAAUAUGUUUGCCAGGCACGAGAAUUCAAAAAAGGCAAAAAUAGUAUAUUGCAUAAAAUGGUACAUACAACUGUUAAGGUGUUAGGGGUCACUCAUGUGAUUUGUAUUUUUGCCUCUAUUCAACCACAAUGUCUGGAUCUAAAUUGUAAUUUUAUUUCUUUUAUUAAUUACUUUCAUUGUUAUAAACUAGUACAUUUGUAAUAGAAAAUACAUUAAUAAACAACCCUAAACUUUUCAGAUUGACUUUCCUUUGAUACAGUUGAUACAUUGAUACAGUUCCGGUAGUUAGAAUUUUAUCACAAUUAAAUAUUAUUGCUGCACUGUGCGGAAUAAUAUUCUUCAUUAAAAAUGUGAGAAUUCAACAUUUCAAUUCAUUUUUUGUGUUAUGGAUAGUUAAAAUAUAUUAAAUGACUAUUUUUUUAAUUAUACAAUUCAAAUAAUAAAUGUAAAACCGUUAUUUAAAACAUGUUGAAAAGCAAAAUAUCGAAAGAAUUUUUAGAUAUUUUUCACAUUUUUCAAAUACACUUUGACUGAGUAACAAACUUCAAACAAUCAAACAGGUAUGUUGCUACAUUUAAUGCCAAGCUCUUACACGCUCUUGUGUCCAUCAAAUAUAGCUUCAUAUUCAAACCAAAGAUAUAGUCUAAAAAAGCACCAUCACAAUCGCCAUCUAAAUUCUAUUCCCUGUUUGUGUUUACAUUUAGCCGUUACACUUACCUUAAUGUCCUGAAUUUGUCUGAUGUGAAGGGUGCAGAGGAACAGAAGGUUGCAGGUCCAACACAGAAUACGCUUUCUGAGCUGGGCCACGAAGAAAGACAAAGCCACAUGCACAAGCAAAACAGCCACACCUUUAAGUCCCAAAAUGCUACUGGCUGCCGAGAGGCCGUAAACUGUGAGCGCCAUGACCCGAAGCUGGUGACAAAAGGUUAAAAAAAAAAAAAAAAAAAGCUUACUUACAUCUUGUGGAAAAAACAAUCUAGAGUUUAAGGGGGAAAAGCGAGAAUUUGCAUGCGGUGGGUUGCUUCAGACCUGUGGGUAAAGGGCGCUGCACAAUCUAGAUAUGACAGCAUGCCCAAUCAGAGUCCAUAGCAAGGACUUCUUAGCCCAAGCGGUCCAGAACGUCCACUCAAAGUCUGAUGCAUCCUGACCAAAUAUACAAGUAAAAACAAAACAUUAAAAAAAAAAUCCAAGACAAAACUCAAAAUCACAUUAAUGUUACUAUUUUCCACAAGAGUGAUAGCAUAUAUUGCAAGCUAAAAAAAAACAACAAACUUGAACUUUUGACAGUCGGCAAUUUCAAAACGUACCCUUUUAAAGCCGUUAAAAAGGCCUUUUUCCAGUAGGAACUCCCUAUCCAAUCCCACUUCAUGCUCUGAAACACAAAUCCCCCAAAUUACAAUAUUUUUCAAGCUUUACCAAAGAGUUGACAUGAUUACAAUUACUCCCCUACCUUUUGAGAACCUGUGAAGUUCAUAAAAAGAGUAAAAAUGGGACCCAAAGGACAGCAGCCAAUAGACAAGGAGCUCCGUCUGUGGCAGUGGUGCCGAUUGGACUUUCGGGUUUGAUGCCAUCUGGUUGAAAUCAAUGCACUAUGGUGAGCCUGGGACAUGCAUUAAGCAAAUGCAUUAGAUUGUUGAACACCUAGUGGCAUGCUGAGAGAUGUUUCUUAUAAUUGUGUCUCUCUCGUGGCGCUAAAGGCUCUCACUGAUGAAACAAGAUCAUUCAAUGCCAGCCAUCCCAGUAAAUAUGGAUUUUAUUUCUAUCGCUGUCAAUGGCAGCAAAUGAGUUAAAAGCAAUAACCUCAAGAAUAAAAGUCAUGUCGAAUUAGUUCAUAUAGCGCGUUACAUAUUACUACCAGUGACCGCAUUUGACGGAAGUCAGAAAUGAUGAUGUCGGUUGCUAGGUAACACCCAGGACUUUACGACAGUCACUUUCGCGGCAAAGGUUGCGUCUACGGCGGACAUAGAAAGCUUGUAUGCACGGCUGGCUGCAAACUCAUUACAUUUAGCAGUGUUUGGUGUUUGCCCGUCGUCCAAAUGGCCGCCACCACCAGGCGAGGAUGAUUCGUCGUUUAAGACAAGCUGCAGAACAUCAAUUCGCCAUCGGGAUACAGUAACACAGUUCAAAACACUUCGUAUUUUGUGAGAUAAUUUUAAAGAAUAUUAUGAAUUUAUCAGGGCCGUUCCUGACCAAUUUGGUGCCCUAGGCAACAUAUUUAUUGGCGCCCCCCCCCCCACCUAUUUUCACCACAUAUAUUUAAACACUCACACUGAAAACGCACGUUAUCUCUUUGUAAUUUAUUAUAUAAAAAAAAGACAAGGAACAAGUGCAGAAAUUAAAAGAAAAAUGCUGUUAUAACUAUUCAAAAGCACCAAUGAAAACACUUAAAAAAACAAUUGCAUUAAAUAAAUAACAAUUGUUAUUACAAUAUGAUUAACACCGACCCACACAAACCUAUAUAAAGACACCCAGAACACUUUAAAAUGCAACUUUUUUUUUCACCUUGACUUAUAACCUUACUCACCUUGUCUUCACUGAUGCAAAAGCAUCUAUUGCACUUUCAUAUGACAGUUGUUUUGGAAGGUGCACUUCUUUCCUGGACUUGGUGGGCUUGGACUUGGUGCUGAUGUGGAUAGGUUCGCCGUAAAAGAUGGCCCAGGAUGUACAGAGGUAGAAAGAAAAUAUUUCUGAAGAGCAAAGUGGAAUGUUACAUUAUAUAAGUCAAAUAGCUGUUAAUUGUGAAACCAGCAUCACAUAACCAUAAUAGCGCCUAAAUUCUUGCAGCCUACUGUACCUGUCUGUAUGAUCCGGCCACUAUCUUUGAUGGGCGUAGUUAAAAGAAAAUAAAUUCUUGAAGCACGGCAACUACACAGGACUAUCCAAUAAUAAUGAAUUAAAUAAUAUACGAUAGCAAAAAAAAAAAUAAUAAUAAAUUGAAUAUGUUUUUACGUGAAUGUGAUCGCCAUUUUAAUGAAUUAAUGACACAUUUAAUAACAAAUGUUUGCAUUUAAAUCUUUGGCACUUUUAGUCCCCCAUACCACAUAACUUUGAAAUUAUUAAUUCCAUAUUUAAAGGUGUAUUUAUUUAAUCAACCUUGGCACUUUUAGGCAAGGUUUGUUUAGGCAAUUUAUUUGAAAAGCACAAUUUAACACAGGGUAAAAGUGGUUCACAUCACAUGAAAAUAAGCUAGACAAUUUUAGUCUCCCAUACACUUUGUCCAAAUUUCUCUAAAAUUGGAGGAGGAGUAAAUUUAACUGAAACUAAUCCACAGCUGGCUGAAUACUGAAAAUAUUUCUAAAACAACAGCCUGGCUAAUGAUACAGUAUAAUUUUGCUUUAGCACUAAGUCAUAUAAGCUCUUUGUAAAUAACCGCUGUAGUUGCGCUAAAUCUAUGUGCUUAUGCUGUUGAAAAAAAUAAUCACAACAAACCUCUGUUUUUCUUCACGUCUUUGCUGUCUUCUUUCUUUUUAUUCUGACCCGAAGGGCUUUUGUCUUUUCAUGAAGUUGACUUGUCACCGUAACGUUGCUCAAGUGCGGAGGCUAAAAAUAGCACCUUCAGGUAGCUCGCUGGUCUGCUGGGUGGUGGGACUAGGGUCCGUGGUGAAAUUAUCGCAUCACAGGAAAAAGGGAAACGGGCAGAAGGCACACUAGAAAAAUGAUUUCAUUAUUAUUUAAAGACUUAUUAUGAACGGUUUUGUUGUUCUUUUGUUUUAUUGUUUUGUGUAAUUUUUUGAAUACUGGUUUCAUCAAAUAUUAUUUGAAUAUUUGUCUUGACGCAUUUUUGGACGCUGGUGCGCCCUUAGGCGGUUGCUUGAAUUGCCUUAUGGGCGGCACGGUCUGUAACUUAUAUGAACUCUUAUUCAAUGCUCAGAUGCUUGGAUGCAAAGUUCUUCAUUCUUUUAUGUUGAGUAUUUCUAUUACUUUUUGCUUUUCGACUGCAUACUAGAGGUGGGUAGAGAGUAGCCAAAAACUGUACUCAAGUAAGAGUAGCAUUACUUCAAAAUAAUUUUACUCAAGUAAAAGUAGUCUUCACAAAAAAGUACUCAAGUACAAGUAAAAAAAAAUUACAGUAUUUACUCAAAUAAUGAAUAACAUUUUAACUGCUACCAAAUUAUAUUAUUUUUUCUCAGCUUUUUCAAGUUACCUAGAUGAACUGUUGUUACAGUGAUACUGUACAAUAACCAUUACAUAACCACAUUACACCAAAUAAAUAUUAAUAAUAAAAAAAUAAUAAUCAUUUAACUCCGACGAGAGAGAAAAAUGACAGAAAGAGCAAAAAGAGUGCCUUCUAGAGGAGAAAAUAGUUCCUAGUUUGAAUAGUGAAUACAGUAGUUCCUUCACAGUUAGUAUUAUAAAAUUUAAAGUAAAAUAUCUACGGUUUUCUGUGGUCAAUCGGUGCCAAAUAAAGACUAGAAAAGAGGUUAAAAUCCGCGCUUUCGAGUCAUGCUGAGGGCAGCAAUUUCAAAUAAUUUAUUUUUAAUGGUGCUUUAAAGACACCACAUGAUCGAACAGGCUGGUAUGAUCAUAGAACAGCAAGCUUGCGUCUGAUUGGUAUAAUGGAAUCAUGUGAUUAUUUUUGCAACGUCUCAUUGGUGAAAUUGGUAAAGCUACUCUUGGCAUCGCUAGCAAAAUAAAUAAAUAAAUAAAUAUAAUAUGAAGAAUAAAGAGGAAAAAUGUAAUGACUCUUGUGUAGCCCAAAGUAGCGGAGUAAGAGUAGCAGUUCUUCUUCACAAAUAUACUCAAAUAAAAGGUAUGGCUUAGUAAAACUACUCUUAGAAGUACAUUUUUCUCAAAAAUCUACUUAAGUAAACGUAAUGGCGUACAUGUAACGCGUUACUACCCACCUCUGCUGCAUACGAAAACACAAGUACCUUUUUCUACCAGUCUCAUCUGUCCGUACACCCAUCCAUCGAUUCAUGUUCUCCCUCAUAAAUCUGAGGUCGGGUUGCGGGGGCAGCAGUUUCAGUAGUUACUUUUAAUCAAAUGUUGUAGAUUGCCAUACUUUACAAUUUAAAGUCAUUUGUCAAUUCAAUUUACAUAAUCGUAAUUGUAUUUUCGAUUUCUCUACACAUGUUUAAUAUAAAUGGAAUUAAGACAUUUACUGAAUUUUUAGAAAGGAGUUUAUUUCAGCUCAAUAGUGGAUGCAACCUCAUUAUGACGAGCCUCAGCCUAUGAAGAGGCCAUAGGAAGCCAAUGCCAAAGAGGUCCUUUUAUGUAACAUGUUGUCAUGCAGACACAAUUGACAAAGUGAGUACUGUAUAUUCCUUCAAAUGUCAAAAAUAACACUGUUUAUCCUCUUGAGAACAUAUACAUUUUGUUCUUUUGCCUUCAGAGCAUGAACAUUACCACCAGUAAGACAUCAUUUAAAGCAACAGUUGUAAGCUCAUCUAACUUGAGGAUGCAUGCCAGCAUGUAUUUGCAUGUUUCGUGUUUUUUCUGUGUUCACACAGACAACUUCAGCUGCUGCUUCUUCACAGCUCCUCGGUCUCUCCGUCCAAGGGCAUGAGGUGGGGCACCUCAUCAGGUACGCCGUUCAUUUCCACGUGGAUGCUGCUGGGCUCGCUGCUACCCACCCAGCCAAUGGGUGUGCGGUUGAAGGAAGGUCGGAGGUUGAGAUCAUGACCGUACACCACUGUGGGCUCAGCUACCACUUUGGUCUUCUCAGUUUCGGGCAUUUGGAAUUUCAUGAACUGGAGGGCCUUUUCAAAUCCGCCAUAGGGCAUGGCAGUCCUGGCAGAGUUAAGCGAUUGUCAGUUUUAUUCACAGAUAAACACAAGAUUGUUUUCAGUGCAGUAUGUCGCUUUGCAGGGUAUGCAAAGCAUGUUUAAAAUGAAAUAAGUGCCAGGACCAAGAAGAAAAAUCCCAUGUACUCCACAACCUAGCAUAGUUAAUGUUAUAGGUCACAUCAGAUUUAAACUAUUGUCAAGUUUCUCAUUAGUAAAGGAGGGUUAUUAAUGUAAAAAUUAAAAUCAAGUGAGGUCAAACAAUAGAACCCUGACAUACUUCACAAAGUUCAUUGCUAAAUUCUAAAAGAAUGUUAGAGAUCCCAAUCUCCGUCCUCGAUACAAUCAUUAGGGAUGCACUUUAGCCAAAGAUCAAAACGAUUAGAGAUACUUUCUGUAUACUAUAUGUAAGUACCUGUUGAAGCAUUUGUACUUGCGCAGAUCAAUUUGCCCACCGGGGCCGGGCAUGAAACCUUUUAGGGUGGCUAGCAAACUUUCGUCACCCUUCAUGGCUUUCUCCCAAGGAGAUAUGUAGGUCUUUAUGUGCAUCUUCUUAGACGCGUCAUCUUUUCCGCCAUCUAUGAACAACAGAUCUUUUUAGGAACUACAGAAAGGAAGGGUAUUACUUAUAAUCCAUUGAUUUGGUCAUCUAUUCAACAUGUAAUCUCAGAACACUAUCACAAGGGCCUGAAAUAGUCCAGGUGAUAGUAGUUGUUGAAUUUAAUGUGGUCAUCUUUAAGGGACAUAAGAAACUGAAAGAAGCAACAUGUCAUCAAAGUAGAACUUGUAAGAUUUUAAUAAAUCUUUCAUACCAACCUUUUGGUUUGGAUCCUUCACCCGAUCCUCCAUCAAUUCCAUCUUUCCCUUGCUGCGUGGCACCUUGUCCCUCCGCGCCUCCUCCGGCUCCUCCGACUCCUACCAAUCCCCCAGCUUCACCGCUCUUGCUUCCAGGUUUCGGAGGAGGCACAGGGGCCCCUCCUCCAAACACCAUCCCUCCAUAAUGCAACUGACUAGCAUCUUUGCUGAGGAGAUACCCUCCCAGGUGUAUCGUUUGGCUGCUUGUCUGACCACCUACCGUCGGGACAAACUUCUGCAAUUCAUCCUGAAAGGGAGCAAUUUAACCAGAUUUACUUACUGAUCAACUCUAAUUGAGGUGGACCAUUUUGUGUAGGCUACCAUAGAGUCACCACAGAAGAUGUCAGGGUUGUUCUCAUAGAUGAACUUCUCCACCCGCUGCUGCCUCAUCUUAAACAUCUUGGAGCCUCGGUUCUUGAGCAGAGACAAUUCCUCCAGCAUGAUGUCUUUUGGCGUUCCGAUCUUUCUUCCCAAGUCGAACUCAGAAAUAUUAACAACGGGCUCGUACUCUUGGUAAGUGCAACCAUCACAUUAAAACACUGUUUCAGUGUUCUGUUCAUGUCAAGUUAACGAUACUACAAAACUGUCAGACUUACCAUCCUGAGAGAUUUUUGAUAGAUCAAUGAUGACUUUGGUUGGCUUUCUCCUUUUAUUUACAGGUGUGGGUGUUCUUGCGGGCAUGGCUGUCAGGAGUGAGAAAGCAUGGGUUCUUGAGACUUCUAUUUGUGAUUCUACUCAUGAUAGACAUCUCCAGUCCACCAAAUUUCAUGAUGAAUAAUCCUGUGGAAGGCAGAGAAGAAGAGACCAAAAUCCCGGGUUGACGGAUCCCCCAAAAGCGUACGACUAGUUUGAUCCCGGUCGGUAGACGGGACCGUGCCGCUAACUGGAUUAUUCCUGCUAACGAGGCCUUCCGAAAGCAGCCGGUAUAAACCUUUAACGAGCGUGCGGGCCACGGCCGACUAUACGGGCCAUGGAGCCGGAGGACGGCGCUUCCCUUUCCACGCUGUUGGAAUACAUUUGGUGCUCUGUGAUGUCUCUUAAAUACUUUAUCUGAAACCUCGCGAGCGUGAAAUAUCUCCACUCAGCAGACCGGCAAUGGUGCACAUUGUUAUUUAUCAAAGCGCCCGUGUAAAUGUGUGCGAGGGCAUUUAAAAGUGUGCCUUUUGCCUCGGCUGCUUAUGUUCUUUUUUGCUCUCGGAUGUUUUGUAACGCGCCCAUGCCGCGUUCUAUUUAUGUGCCCGGAGUCAGCCGAGGAUAAAAAGACGCUUAAAUGUCACUUCAAAACGCAAAAUGGUGCAGCUGGAACAUAGUCGAUCCUCACUGUUCAUGGGGGAGUCCGGAGCAAAAACAAAAAUAGCAGACAAUCACCCUUGCCCGAAAAUGUGGAGAAUAACUUCGGUUGUUAAACUUGGCUCCCUCUAGUGGUACGUGAGCGAAUCACAGACUUAGUGAAGUUCAGCUCUAUUUAACUCAUUCACUGCUACUGAUGGUGAUGGACAUCCAUAUUAUUACCGUAUUGGCCCGAAAUAUAAGACGGUGUUUUUUUGCAUUGAAAUAACACUGAAAAAGAGGGGGUCGUCUUAUAUUCGCGGUCUGGACAUUAUACCCAUUCACGACGCUAGAUGGCGCCAGAUAUCAUUGAAGCGAUGUUCUGUCAUGACAGAUCUCAGCUACUCUUCCCAUUCAUGACACUAGAUGGCGCCAGAUAUCAUUGAAGCGAUGUUCUGUCAUGACAGAUCUCAGCUACUCUUUUUAGUUUAACAAGUUUGCAUUAUUUUAUUCCAGUGUUUUUCCUUAUUCAGAUUUGUUUCAAGACUACAGUUACAGUUAGACUUCACUUUGACGGUUAAUGCAGUUAUUGCAAUUUUGUUGUUUAUCACAGAUUGGUUUAUUUACAUUUCAAAAACCAGAAGCCAUUCAUUUACGAAUGUGAUUGCACUUUAGUUUACAUAUUUAAGUGUUCAGAUAUUAAGAAUUGAAUGAGGCAAAAUAACAUGCUUUUUCUCUUAAUAAUAUUGUUAUAAUCAUUUGUUUCGGAUGUACUGUAAUUAUUUUCUGUCUAAAAAUUAAUUUGGUGUUCAAAAAGUCUUUUUUCAAACUUGAGUCUUGAAAAAGAGGGGGCCGUCUUAUAUUCGGGCCAAUACGGUAUUUACUGCGAGAGCUGACAGUGUUCAUUCACUGCCGCUACCAUUUGAAAGAAUGUCCAUCCACUUUAAUGACUUGAGUUAAAUGAAGUUCAAUUUGCAUUUAAAGUUAAUUUACUUGUCUGAGCAUAAGGUUGCCGUCCUUGCUGGGCCCGAUCUCAACAUAGAACAUUUUGUUGUCGAGGGGCAGGGAGAAGAUGGGCUCCUUGUUUUGGAUCUGAUCGCGAUCUUCAAGUUCCAGAGUGCCGAUCCGCGAGUUCAGCUUGUGGUUCUCAGGAACCUGCAACUCGUACAUGCCUAUGGAGCAAAAGGAACAUUAGUCACUACUUAACUGAAGUGAAUUGCCACAACGUGUAUUUAUAAUUCAGAAGUGUUUGCUUUAUAUAAAUGCACAAAAAUGAGCAAUUAUUUUGUUCCCAGAAGGUCUGUUAGCCGUUGUUUUAUUCUCAAACCUAAAUACGACGAGACGACAAGAAUAAAGUUGCAUUCUCACAUGGAAAGAAGAACUUUUAAGGGAAAAAAAUGAUAUUACAAAAAUAUCAAGUACUGUACUGAUUUUUCAAUAUGAAAAUGAUAUCAACAUAGUAGAGAAUAAUUAUUAAAAUAGUAUUUGUUUGAAGGAGAAACUACUAGAGCGAUUGUAAAGACGAUUAUAAUUCUGUUUGCUUUUAAAGUGCUGCACUCCUCUCAGCAUUUUAUUUCCCUAAAGUACAGUGGGGCAAAUAAGUAUUUAGUCAACCACUAAUUGUGCAAGUUCUCCCACUUGAAAAUAUUAGAGAGGCCUGUAAUUGCCAACAUGGGUAAACCUCAACCAUGAGAGACAGA